rnacentral:rRNA from 1 species
UACGAAGGGGGCUAGCGUUGUUCGGAAUUACUGGGCGUAAAGGGCGUGUAGGCGGCCCGUUAAGACAGGUGUGAAAUUCCUGGGCUCAACCCAGGACGUGCGCCUGUGACUGGCGGGCUUGAGUCCGGGAGAGGAUGGUGGAACUCCCAGUGUAGAGGUGAAAUUCGUAGAUAUUGGGAAGAACACCCGUGGCGCAGGCGGCCAUCUGGACCGGUACUGACGCUAAGGCGCGACAGCGUGGGGAGCAAACAGG